rnacentral:rRNA from 1 species
CUCUAACCAUCGUGGGUUCGCCCACCUCAGUGUUUGGCC